rnacentral:rRNA from 1 species
UACGUAGGGACCGAGCGUUGUCCGGAUUCAUUGGGCGUAAAGAGCUCGUAGGCGGCUGUUCAAGUCGAACGUGAAAACUCGGAGCUCAACUCCGAGCCUGCGUUCGAUACUGGACGGCUAGAGUCUGGUAGGGGGAUCUGGAAUUCCUGGUGUAGCGGUGGAAUGCGCAGAUAUCAGGAGGAACACCGUGGCGAAGGCGGCAUCCUGGACCGAGAUUGACGCUGAGGAGCGAAAGCUAGGGGAGCAAACGGG